CCCGGGUCCUUUCUCCCUACCUAGCAGGGAGGAGAACUAAAUGGCCGCUCUUGUGAACACUUUGCAAAAGGGAUGAGAGGUACGGUAAUGAGAAGGCAGUCUCGGAGUUGUGCUACCGGGAGAUGCCAACGCCCGGCUGCAAUCCCUGGGAAGCCGGACGGGCCAUCCCACCAGACGUCCUCAAGCCACAUGCCUUUGUCCACAUGAUGCACCAGGGCUUAAGCUCCUUGGCCCAGCUGGGGAUGAGCGGGGAGGAUCCGGGCGAAUGGAGCGGGCUGCACCCGGCAGAACCAGCCAGCCGCUGAGGGCAUCUGUCUAGAGCGAGCCUCGGUCCUGGACCCUGGCAAUAUCACAGUAAAUAACCCCGAAGCCUGACUUUAAGGAAAGAAAGCAGGUUGGAACGGAAAGUGGACGUACGCAGACCUGUACCAUGCCUCUGCUCCCGCUCCCAACAAAGGGGGAGAAAAAGCAGCGAGAAUAAAACCAGGGCCUGCUUGCUCAGAGGACACAGAAAGCCCCUACUCAGUCUUUCCUUCUUCCUCAGUUCACGGAUUUCGUACUCCUCUCCAGCCCCCUGUGUUUCUUCUAUGCAGCGAUCUGAGGAGAUGAAAAACUGAACCGAACAGUACAACUGCCAAAAAUAAAAAUAAAAUAACAACAAUAAUAAAGGAAGAGCAAAUGUGUCAGCAUAAUAAUCAGAUACGAAGUAAUAAAGUCGUUUGUUAAAUUCCAGCUAAAAUAAAUAAAAUACC